UGGGGAAUAUUGCACAAUGGGCGCAAGCCUGAUGCAGCAACGCCGCGUGAACGAUGAAGGUCUCCGGAUGGUAAAGUUUGGUUGCGGGGGAAGAUAAUGACGUUACCUGGGGAGGAAGCCCCGGCUAACUACGUGCCAGCAGCCGCGGUAAUACGUAGGGGGCUAGCGUUAUCCGGAUUUACUGGGCGUAAAGGGUGCGUAGGUGGUCUUUCAAGUCGGUGGUUAAAGGCUACGGCUCAACCGUAGUUAGCCUCCGAAACUGGAAGACUUGAGUGCAGGAGAGGAAAGUGGAAUUCCCAGUGUAGCGGUGAAAUGCAUAGAUAUUGGGAGGAACACCAGUAGCGAAGGCGGCUUUCUGGACUGCAACUGACACUGAGGCACGAAAGCGUGGGUAGCAAACAGG
rnacentral:rRNA from 1 species